AAGUCGUAACAAGGUUUCCGUAGGUGAACCUGCGGAAGGAUCAUUAGAAUGAGAGCCGGACCAUGUCGUGGGCGAAAGCUCGCACGUGCCAGUAAGCGCCCGUAAACCUCCACCCUUGUGUAUUAUUCUUCUGUUGUGCUUGGCAGGCCCGCGACCGGUCUGGGGCAGCGGCUUGGCGUUCGGCUGGAGAGUCGCCUGCCAGACGGAACCAACUCUGUAAUUUAAUGCCGUCUGAGUACUACGAAAAUAGUUAAAA
rnacentral:misc_RNA from 1 species